GCGCCUGUAGCUCAGGGGACAGAGCACCGGAUUCCUAAUCCGGGUGUCGCAGGUUCGAUUCCUGCCAGGCGUACCA
rnacentral:tRNA from 1 species